GCCUCCAGGAACGUUGGUGUUUGAAGGAAAUGCAGCAGAGAACUGGAGAAGAUGGAAGCAAGGGUUUGAAUUGUACUGCAUUGCAAGUGGAGCAGAUAAGAAAGAUGAGAGACUCCAGUCAGCAUUAUUUCUGCAGGUGGCAGGUGAAGAAGCAAGAGAGGGGCAUAGACGUUCUGCAUAUGGGGUCUUAUUGUAUCGUCCCUCCAACACUGCCGAUGGCAGAACGUUCAUUCUAACCCAGAUGUAUCGAUAGACCAUGCAACAAAAUUAAUUGAUGGACUACGUGGUACUUUACAAGGACUACGAGAAACAGGUUUCGAACAAAAUUUCCUGGAAGCAAAAAAUUUGGCUGAAACAAUGGAUAUAGAGAUUGGAUUUCCUAAUAAACGGAAGAGAAGAGUUAAGAAAAUGGAAAUAGAUGAAGCACCGGAUGAAGGAAGUAGCAUGACACCCGAAGAAUUAUUUAAAAUGCAAAUUUGCAGCAUUUUUGACACUCUAUUGUCUAAAAUAGAUUGGCGGUAUGAGCAACUGAGAACUAUCUGUGACGAUUUUUGCUUUCUCUAUGGCUCGUCUUUAGAAUCGAUGAGCGUUGCUGAUUUAGAAAUAUCGGCUGCAGAUCUCGCUAUUAAGUAUAGCAAAGAUUUAAAUAUGUA